GUGAGGACGAAGAUGAAGAGUCUACGACAUGCCGGUCAGAGUGGAUCAGUGUUCCGCAGCGAUUUUGGCGUGAAAGAUGUACAUGCGGCAGCUGCUUCUGAACUUGUGGUAGCAGGGAACGCUGGUGGAGAAGAGAUCAUUUCUUCAGUCAACAACUGGAAGUAUUACUUGGGAAGAGA